UGGGGAAUAUUGGACAAUGGGCGCAAGCCUGAUCCAGCCAUGCCGCGUGUGUGAAGAAGGCCUUUUGGUUGUAAAGCACUUUAAGCGAGGAGGAGGCUACUUGGAUUAAUACUCUAGGAUAGUGGACGUUACUCGCAGAAUAAGCACCGGCUAACUCUGUGCCAGCAGCCGCGGUAAUACACAGGGUGCGAGCGUUAAUCGGAUUUACUGGGCGUAAAGCGUGCGUAGGCGGCUUCUUAAGUCGCAUGUGAAAUCCCUGAGCUUACCUUAGGAAUUGCAUUCGAUACUGGGAAGCUAGAGUAUGGGAGAGGAUGGUAGAAUGCCAGGUGUAGCGGUGAAAUGCGUAGAGAUCUGGAGGAAUACCGAUGGCGAAGGCAGCCCUCUGGCCUAAUACUGACGCUGCAGUACGAAAGGAUAGGGAGCAAACAGG
rnacentral:rRNA from 1 species